CCCCGGGGUACCGGAUUGAACCGCAUAAAAGCCACACAGAUACCCGCGGCGCAAGGGUGAGGUAACGGCUCACCAAACGAUGCGUAGCCGACCUGAGAGGGUGAUCGGCCACACUGGGACUGAGACACGGCCCAUCCUACGGGAGGCAGCAGUAGGGAAUCUUCCGCAAUGGACGAAAGUCUGACGGAGCAACGCCGCGUGAGUGAUGAAGGUUUUCGGAUCGUAAAACUCUGUUGUUAGGGAAGAACAAGUACCGUUCGAAUAGGGCGGUACCUUGACGGUACCUAACCAGAAAGCCACGGCUAACUACGUGCCAGCAGCCGCGGUAAUACGUAGGUGGCAAGCGUUGUCCGGAAUUAUUGGGCGUAAAGCGCGCGCAGGCGGUUUCUUAAGUCUGAUGUGAAAGCCCCCGGCUCAACCGGGGAGGGUCAUUGGAAACUGGGGAACUUGAGUGCAGAAGAGAGAGUGGAAUUCCACGUGUAGCGGUGAAAUGCGUAGAGAUGUGGAGGAACACCAGUGGCGAAGGCGACUCUCUGGUCUGUAACUGACGCUGAGGCGCGAAAGCGUGGGGAGCGAACAGGAUUAGAUACCCUGGUAGUCCACGCCGUAAACGAUGAGUGCUAAGUGUUAGAGGGUUUCCGCCCUUUAGUGCUGCAGCAAACGCAUUAAGCACUCCGCCUGGGGAGUACGGUCGCAAGACUGAAACUCAAAGGAAUUGACGGGGGCCCGCACAAGCGGUGGAGCAUGUGGUUUAAUUCGAAGCAACGCGAAGAACCUUACCAGGUCUUGACAUCCUCUGACAACCCUAGAGAUAGGGCUUCCCCUUCGGGGGCAGAGUGACAGGUGGUGCAUGGUUGUCGUCAGCUCGUGUCGUGAGAUGUUGGGUUAAGUCCCGCAACGAGCGCAACCCUUGAUCUUAGUUGCCAGCAUUCAGUUGGGCACUCUAAGGUGACUGCCGGUGACAAACCGGAGGAAGGUGGGGAUGACGUCAAAUCAUCAUGCCCCUUAUGACCUGGGCUUGCUACAAUGGGCGGGGCCGCGAGGCGCCAAUCCCACAAAUCUGCAGUUCGGACAGUCUGCAACUCGACUGCG
rnacentral:rRNA from 1 species